AUUAUCACGCAAUUUUCAACAACCUUUUCCAGGUAUCCCGACAAAUUUGCGGAAGGGACGGUCACCGACACGACGUAGGUCGAUCUUGUGAUACAAGGCCGUUGUCGUCGUCAUUGGAAAUGGCGUUCGCCACCUUAAUCAAGUGUUGCAAGACAAUCGCCGAGGAAGUGAGGAAGGAAGGAUGCUAAGGAUUGGAAUACUUUUGUUUUAUUGUCUGUUUAUAUUCUAGACGGACAGGAGUAUUCUUGACCUUUGCGUACGACCUCCAGGUCCUCAUCCCGACCCUGUUCUCGUUCCUGGCCUAUCGCAUCCGGACGCCACAAGCAUAACAAGAUAUGGGUCAAGUGCGGCAGGUACCGAGCAACUUGACUUAUACUUAUAUGGUGGGAAAAAGAAGAUGGCCACGUCGAUUCGAUUGUUUCUUAUAUACCUAUUAUGAAGAUGAUACACACAAUCGGUUUUCAUAUAUCUAUAUCGUGUUCAUACGCUAAAUAUAUACUAUAAGAGAAGAUGAUUAUCAACACGUUCAACGUAGAUGAGUAAUGUAUACUAAAAGUUUAUCUUCAUGCAAUAUUGGAUUUAACUUUUGCGUAAAACCAUUUUAAUCCGCCUGACACUUUUUUCAGUGAAUGCUAUAUGGCUUCCCUAUGCGAUGUUGUUAUGUAAGCAGAGAGCCCUUUCGUGUCUUCCUAAGCAGGUAUAUUUUACGUGGGAUAUCGGUAUAGGUUUCAGUUCCAUAUAUACAUCCCUGGCACUUUACAGGAAUUGUUUAUUCGCCAUGCAAUAACGGAUUAAUGAAAAGUCAUUGCCGUUCCUAAAAAAUGAUUAUUAAGUGACCUCGCACUUAACCGUGCACGGCUGAUUUCAAGUAGAUAAAUAAGAUAGAUCUUGUAUCAACAGCAAGUGGAAAGAAACACUAAAAUAUUCAUUCUUUAGAAUGCGAGUUGACAGUGAUAACAUUUAAAUAAUUUGGCAAGUUUGAAUUCAGCAUAUAUACGUGAGAUAAACAAGUCCACGUGCAGGACGCAUUAAUGCUGUCUCUAUAGUGAAAAACUUUACAUGAAAGGAACUGAAAUAUUUUUAUAUCACGGUACACCCUGUACCCUGGUAUCAUUCAAGAAACUCAGGUAUUACUACACUGUAUAUAUUAUAUGCUACGCAUCACCUACGCUCAGAUACCCAGAGAGAGUGAAAUUAAUAUCGAAAGCGAAUCGGAGCACUGUGGCCCGUAGAAAGGACGUCGUCUCCGGGAAGAGAACGUGGCCACGGCCACUGUCAUUUUUGUCGUUGAAUAUCAAUACACGUGUCCGCCUUAUAGAGAAAGACACGGCAUCUCAUUUGUACACUACAGAAGUUCCUUCGUUAAUCAAGUAAUCAUCUUUCUAUAAGGAGCUAAUAAAUGGUUUAGUGAAACACUGUUGAAUCGACGAGGAGCAUUGUACAUCUUUGUCGGAAUUUAGAAGUUACAGGAGACAGGAGUUGGGGCUCGAACUAGGUCAGGGCAGUCGCCCGCAAAACGAUCGGAUCAAAUUGAUUCUCAAAUUGAAAGAAAAAGUCUAACGAGCACCAAUUCAUUGGGUUGAUGGAUGAUCAACUUUUUUUAUAAUAAUUUUUUUUAAUUUUCCUAACGAGCCAUGGAUUCUACUACCAUUGUGCUAAGUUGAAUAGGUCAAUGUCAAAUCAGUACAGUACCGGUCUUCAGGAACGACUAUCGUAGCGGUACUCUUGGGGUUGCUAUAGUUGUUAAGAUAGAUUAUGACAAGUGCAUAAAAAAUACAGUUUCCGUAGGAGGAAUUGAUAAAAAAAUGGAACAAAAUUUAUAUUGAGAAUCACUGACAGAGAAAUACAAUCGUGAGUCAGGCGUACACUAAAGGCUUGUAUAAAGGCCCCAGGGUGAUUCGCCAGGAUGACCAUGACCAUAUUACCGGACAGAGGCCCGCCAUGCCUUGAGGCUUUUAAUGUUGGUUAGUUCAUACAGACGAUAAAUGGCCCUCGCGAGGUAUUACUUCGAAACCCGUUCACUACUCUCCAUAUUUAUUAGAAGAAUCGAUAAAUAUGCAAUUACAUUGAUGGAUAUAACUAUUUUGACGUUGCAAUUGUUUACUUGCAUAAUAGAAAUAAACACGGAACGUUAUUUAUGAUCGUGGGAUCGGUGCUCGAGUUGUUAAUAAUUUAAAUAGAAUUAUUAUAGCGACAGCUGUGCAGUAUCGCAUUAAAGUCAUGACGAACUUUCCAUCUAUAAGCUCAUUAUGAAAAGUGUUUUUGAAAAACUAACCAUCCACCUGCUGACCUGCAUUUGGAAAUCGAAAAAAAAAAAAUAGUAAAACAUCUUCCUCUGUACCCGACGUGCAAACGAAUUUAUCGAUAACUAUUAACUAGCCCGCGGCUUUAAUGGUGAACGUAAGAACUUGUGCAACAUAACAUUACUUGAAAUUCUAAUCUUGAUCGCGAGUUACCCGAGUGAGCGCAUGAUCCUCGUCUGCGCCAGGUUGGCCAAAAUUACAUAUUCCAUUCCGUCUUUGAGUCCCAAUUUGAAAUUUCGAUCACGAAUCUCUCGCGGGCCUCUUUGUCAUGUAUUGUCGUAAUCGUGAAAGCAGCCAUUAUUAUUGAGCAGUCACUCAACGAAACACGUAUCCGGCAUUUGGGUCCUCCUCAAACCACAUAGUAACAUACCGAACGCGAGGAAAUACCAGGCUAGCCAUGACUACGAUUGAUCAAACUUAUUGAAAACGUAAAAGUUUAUCACUUGCGUCAAAAGUAAGCGAAAUGCGUCACACUAGCGCAUUAUCUGUUUAAAUUCGUAACGUGAAAAUAUUAACAAUAAUGUAUGAAACUGUCAUUUACACUGUUGCUGAUUAGAAUCUGAAAUUUUAAAAUUAUCUCAGAUAUACUCAGCAUAGGCAUGAAAUAACUCAGGAUACGAGUUAAUUGCUCCAUUCGCAAGGAUUACAGUAAAUAACUCAGUGUUCAAUCAGUCAAGAAAUAUCAAUAAGACAACUAUUUGACAGGGUUGCGACAAUGUAUGUAUAAUACGCGUACCCAAUCUUUAAGGUCACCUGUAUAUAUAUAAGUCUCACAAUUAUCAACUUUAUGCAGGUUGGAUCAUUCGAGAUCGGUAGUAAGGUCAAAAAAAGGAAGGGGGUUGGAAACGGGGAGGCGGUUAAAGGAAAAGGUCGGUACCUUCGAAAUAAUCGGUAAAGGUAAAGGCAACGGUGGCCUCAUUUGAGGUCAACCUCUAGAGUGUGGAGCAUUUACUAGGAAUCCUUCCAUAAGUAUUAUUAGGAAGGUAAAGGCGAUCGGGUGUUCGUGGUCUCUAAGGUCAACUGGCACUCACGGAGACAGUAUAUUCAUUUAGCCUCAGGCCAGGAACUUACUUUGGAUCCCUUGACCCAGUAUAGAUUGAUCAUACAGCCAUCGCACAUUAGACACGAGACUUGGAACCUGAGUCUGGAGACAUCAGACCUAAGAGAACAGAUACACCACCCAUUAUACCUGAGACAGCGUACAAGAACUAAGUCUAGUGAAGUCAUAAAAACAAUGAGAAUGUCUGAAAAAAAAUUUGAUCCAUAAAUCCACUGUACGAGAACAAAGAAGAAAAAAGGUGGCGGAUAAAAAUUGAAACUUUUUUUUUUCAUUGCACUUGGAAAAACUUUUAAAUAGGUGUAACGACCGGUUAACCUUCAAUAUUUUCUGAACGGACAUUAUAUUCAUACGUAUAUACAUACUGUUGUACGUGUAAUGUGUGAUGCGGUCCUGAAUGAAAUUAGUAUACUAUUAAAAUUUGCCGCCACGAUUCGUUAGAUUUUGCUAAAAACACCAGUUAUAGUAAUAAAGACUCUUUUUCUGUUCUAUUUCUAAUAUCCCAUAGCGACGCAAUAAAGGUUUCCGUGAAAUAUAUUUUUAGCCAAGUUAUUUGCCAAGAGAUACAGAUGAAAUACGUACCAGGAUGUGCGAACGACUUUCCUGACUUCUACUGAGUAAUUAAUAAUUAAUGAUAAUAAUAAUACAUAAUACAGUAGCAUAACAGAUUAAUAUGUAUAUCGUACUUAUAUUAUGUAUGUAUUCCCAUAAUACGUAUUGUGAUGAUUUCACCUGACAGUAAAGGAACACACGUACGUAGUAAUGGUGGUUGUAAUUGAUGGUGAGGCACGCGAGGUAACGCAAUCACGUUAAUUAAUUCACAAAACGGAUAUGAUAAUUAAUGCUUAUAAUUAAGAAAUAGUAACAUGAGGAUUUGUCUCCCAAAGGACGCCACACUGCAUACUCAGCCAUCGAUAUUCGCGAUAGGUAAAUCAGAGUUUAUGAUUAAAUAAAAUUCUCUUUGGAAUUUUUUUUUAUAUAACCACGUUACAGUGGAACGAUUGUUUAUGAAUAUUCCUAUACGUGUUUUAGGUAGUGCAUAUAUGUAUAUAUAUGUCCUUUAUGUGAAUUACCUAAUUCACUGCACGUGUGCGUAUGCGUAUCUAAAUUCAUAGAAAAUCUCAUUCGGUGCGUUGCUCUACAUGUGUGAACGACGUUACAUAAUUAUCGCGAUGCAGUAUACAUAUACUUGUACAUACAGUACGUAUCCAUAUCUGGUUACGUGCUUAUAUGUAUAAUAUGUAUCCGUAGAUAUGCGCAAAUAUAUUGUAUAUACCACGGACGACUUAGCUAAUGGUAAAACCAAUCACUCUGAUUCAUUGACAAAAAAAUGUCCAUAGAAAAGUUUUAUAAGAUAAGUCACUGUGAAUCGACCAUCAAUUUUACGAAAAAAAUGCGAAAGAAAUUUAAAAAAAAGAAUUGCUUGAUUCGUAACAUCUUUUCAAACCUUGUUUACAGCCAAUCCCAGUUUACG